GGCUCAGAUGUCAUUAUUGCAUUAUGGACGCCCUACAUUAUUGAUCUCAGGAGCCUCUGGCUCCUCCUUGCUCUGUUCCCAGCUCCUGGCCCUCCUUCUCUCUCCAGGAGCAGCAGGAGAGGAGGGGAAACGUCAGCCCUGGCCCCCUACCGCAUGGAGCAGGCAGCUACACCCGGGGGACUAGGGCUCCCUUGCAGCCCCCAGCAGGCCUUGGUGCUGUACCAGCACCUCUUCAGGUGCCCCGCAGACCUGGGCCAGCUCCAGGUUGCCCUGCAGCAGGUGAGAGCAGCAGGGCUCCGUCUCUGAGGGGCAGGGUCUCCGUGGGGUCUGACUCUACUUUGCCUCCCCAGGUACAAGAGGGCCAGGCCUGCCGCUCAGGCUUGGAACUACCCACCGCCCUGCUGCAGAUGGAGCGGAGGCGGCGGGCCCAGGAGCAGGUAGGGGCUGGGGUGGUGGUGGCAAGGGUAGCGUGGGUGACUCUUGACAUCCUGGCACCCUAUCUUCCUACAGCUCCUGUGGGACUUGGAGCUGCUGACUGGGGCGGGGCUGGGCCUCUUCUGGCCCCCCUGGGCCCAGUUCUGCGGUCUGAGAGGCCAGGCCCAGGGUGCAGGGAGCCAGCGCAGCAAGCUCUGCGGGAGGAUGGAAAGCGCUGAGCGGCUGAUGAGAGAGAAUUCCAGGCAGUGCCCAUCAUCCCAGGCUGAGGACUCCCUGAGCCAGAGCCAUCAGCUCCUGGGGGGGGGGAAAGGAGUGGCCCCAUCAUCAGCCCGGAUCUGGGUGAAGCCAGGAGUGAUACGGAUGCAAGGCCUGAGAGCCCCAGCAUGCCUGCAGAAGAGCCCACACCAGGUUGCUUACAAGAGCUGAACCUCACCACCAGCAGUUGCUUUGGGGAACCAGGAAAUGCAGAGUUCAAGGACCUGGCCCAGAGGGAAGAGAGGGGGCAGGCAGAGCCCAUGCCCCAGAGGCCCCAUCCACCAUCACCCAGAAGCCCACAGGAGGAACAGCUUGCUCAGGGAGCCCCAGGGCCUUCAGCCCUCCCCUCCCAGGGCCUGCUGGAACCCCAGGAUUCCCCAGAGGCACAGGGCUGGAGCCUGAGUCCGGAGAGAGCAGAACUUCAGAAAGUGCUAAGGACUGAGAUUCCUCAGGGUCAGAGAGGGGAGGCCCUCCAGGGGGAGGACGAAGUUCCUCAGAGGAAGAGAGAGAAGACACACCUGGAUCAGAGCCGGGAGGCCACUCCGGCCCCGAGGGAAGAGGUCCCUGAAGGUCCAAGGACAGAGGCGCCUCAAGGUCAAAGCGGAAGUCGCGCUAAGUGCUGGAGAAAGGACGCCCUGCAGGAGGCCCAGGAGGAUUCUCCCAAGGGCCUUCCGUCUUCGAGGGCCGAGGCCGUGUCCCCCAAGCCUGGGAGGUGGCUGGGGGAGAAGGGGAGGAAGGCGGCUCCCUGAGAAUUGGGGGGCACUUCUGCAGGUCUCUGGGAGAACAGAUGCCCCGGCCCGGGGGAAAGACCGCUCAGCUGAUGCCGGUUAAGACCGAUGACCAGAAAGCAGAGACCACACCGGCCGCGGGAGAGCAGGGGCCCGCCGGGGAGGGAGCGCGAGCUCGCCUUCCGUCCGCGACCAGGUCUCCGCUCGCAGGCGCGGGAGCCGGGAUGCUAGCGGCCCC
rnacentral:lncRNA from 1 species